GAUGAACGCUGGCGGCGUGCCUAAUACAUGCAAGUCGAGCGAGCAGACGAGGAGCUUGCUCCUCUGACGUUAGCGGCGGACGGGUGAGUAACACGUGGAUAACCUACCUAUAAGACUGGGAUAACUUCGGGAAACCGGAGCUAAUACCGGAUAAUAUAUUGAACCGCAUGGUUCAAUAGUGAAAGACGGUUUUGCUGUCACUUAUAGAUGGAUCCGCGCCGCAUUAGCUAGUUGGUAAGGUAACGGCUUACCAAGGCAACGAUGCGUAGCCGACCUGAGAGGGUGAUCGGCCACACUGGAACUGAGACACGGUCCAGACUCCUACGGGAGGCAGCAGUAGGGAAUCUUCCGCAAUGGGCGAAAGCCUGACGGAGCAACGCCGCGUGAGUGAUGAAGGUCUUCGGAUCGUAAAACUCUGUUAUUAGGGAAGAACAAAUGUGUAAGUAACUAUGCACGUCUUGACGGUACCUACUCAGAAAGCCACGGCUAACUACGUG
rnacentral:rRNA from 1 species